CCUACGGGUGGCUGCAGUGAGGAAUAUUGGUCAAUGGCCGGAAGGCUGAACCAGCCAAGCCGCGUGAGGGAGGAAGGCGCAGAGCGUCGCAGACCUCUUUUGCCGGGGACAAAAGGCCGGACUCGUCCGGUCCUGAGGGUACCCGGAGAAAAAGCAUCGGCUAACUCCGUGCCAGCAGCCGCGGUAAUACGGAGGAUGCGAGCGUUAUCCGGAUUUAUUGGGUUUAAGGGUGCGUAGGCGGUCCGUUAAGUCAGCGGUAAAAUUGCGGGGCUCAACCCCGGUGAGCCGGUGAAACUGGCAGACUUGAGUUGGCGAGAAGUACGCGGAAUGCGCGAUGUAGCGGUGAAAUGCAUAGAUAUCGCGCAGAACUCCGAUUGCGAAGGCAGCGUACCGGCGCCAGACUGACGCUGAGGCACGAAAGCGUGGGGAUCGAACAGGAUUAGAUACCCUGGUAGUC
rnacentral:rRNA from 1 species